rnacentral:other from 1 species
AAACCCCUACCGUGUACGUGAUUGAAUAGAAGCUCUUUGGCUCAACGCAUAAAAACGGGAGUUUUCACUGGUUUUGGUGAGCAGGUUCUGCCAGUACAGAAAAGCCUAAAGAAACUAUAAAACGCCCACUUUGUUUUUUGGCUCAAAGGCCUUGAUACACGGCAUUAUGGUAGGGGUUUC